GAACUGCAUGUUGGAAACAUGUGCAGCUGCAGGAGGAACCAGCAGAACCUCUCCAGGGUUCGAGGGGGCCGAGUCACAACAAGCAUCCAGCAGACCGAGUGAGGACAAUGAGGACUGACUGACAGCGCUCCUGUGGGGCACCGAGGUGAUUAGAGGGUAACAGCUUAAGCAGCAGCAGGCGUGAUUAGGACAGACCAUAAUAACUCAGACCGUUGCUCGGGUUUCAUUCCGUCACUUUUACUCUACCCGUCACUGGAAAUGUGACAAAUCUUCAUGAUCAUUUGAUCUCCUUUUUUUUACUGAUCCAAAAGCAGAAACAACAAGCAGCCUUUUGCUUUACAUACUGGUUGAAGUUGAUGGACGGCUGUAAUGCUCUUGAACCCAAUAACCGCCCCUUCAUGUAUAUUAUUAUAAAGCACCCUCACGGAGUGCUACUCCAUGAGUACUAGCUGGUACAACGUGUGUGACUCGGCUUCAGUGACAGGAGGACAUGGAGUCCUGCAGACACACUCGCGUACCUUCUCCUGCGCUCUGGUGAGCCUCUUCUGGACGCUGAUGGCCAGCUUCCCGGCGGUGACCCCUUUCCCGAUCUCGGCCAUGGCGCGCGGCGUGGAGGGCUCCCCGGCGGUGUGGAAGAAGAGAGGCAGAGUUCACAGCUCCUUAAAGAAAACUCCCAUCAUGCCUCAGCAGGAACCCAAACGUCUAUCUGAUCAGGUGGUCCAUCAUGGUCCAGCACAGACUGGUUCCUGGGGUCAUCCCAGUUAAAAAUACCUUCCUCCCGUCCUCACCUGUCGCCCUGAGCCACGCCCAGCGGGUGGAGGCGUCCCGAGUCCAGCAGCAUCCUCCCCAACCAGUGUAAAAGCCGGGAGUACCAGUGGAUCCCGUCCCGGUGGCUCCCAGUGGAACCAGUCCAGCUGUGGAUCAGCCGGAGCGGCGAGAAGGCCCAGUGAGCCAGGGCGUGCUGGUCCACCACCGCGUAGCAGGACGCCACCACCCCGUCCACCACCAGCGUCCCCUGCUGGGUCAGCGGCGCAAACGCCCCCCUGCUCUCGCCGGUGCUGACCCGGGUGAUCCGGGACAGACGCCCGCGACGCGCCCCCCCCCGCGACACCAGCACGCACUGU